CCGUAUUUGGGCCGGCCUUUUUUUCCUGUUUCUUGUUUCGACCGACCACGUCUGUUUCCUCGUUCCCCUUUCUUCCUCGUGCGACUGCUUUGUCUCGAUUCCUUCUCUGCUUCGUCCUCUCGAUUCCUCUUCCUUCCUCUCGAUUCUUUGCCGUGGUCUUGAUUCCUUCCUCCUUCGUGCAUCUCGGGGCGCUAGACGGUGUUUUGGCAACCAAAUUCUGAGGAAUAACACUUCAAUUUUGUGAUAAUUGGUCGAGGUUCGGUUGAGAUCUAACAGAUCAUAGUUCUUCUACAGAUUUGUAGGUACGACUCAGGAAUUUUCCUUCUUCAGUAUCUUAGCAAGUACAAAGGUCUCGGAAUGGAAGGUUUCUCCAAUGAUGAUUUACAAGCUGUACGAGAGAAAUUCCUUUUUGAGAUCAUAACUUGCAAGGACAAUGAAAUUCAGCUUCCAUUCGUAACUUCUUUCCUACAGAGACAUGGUUUUCGCAUUUUCAAGUGAAGCAUUCAACAUGAUUUCUGCAUUUGAACAAAGCUUUUAGGUAUUCAUUGCCAUUCGUUACUGUCAAGUAUAAUGGAAUUUGCACUACAAGAAGUUCUCCUGAAUUUGCACUGAAAGGAAAAAAACAUGGCAAAAAUGCUUCAUCCUAGGAAAAAAACCAUUUGUUUUUGUUUCCUAGCACAGUUUAGCGGCCGCAAUGCCAGAAUUUUUCACAACUCAAAGGAAGAGUACUAUGACGAAACUGUUCUGCUAUUUCUUUAUCAUGGUUCCCCAGUGAUACUGUCUUGUAUUAUUUUAACUUGUAAAGAAGGUUUAAAUCCCCCCGCAAAAAAAUGUUUAAAUCUACAGAAUAAGUUUGUAAAGGAAGC